rfam:Ictidomys tridecemlineatus contig026980, whole genome shotgun sequence.
GGGAGUAUAGCUCAGUGGUAGAGCCCUUCCUUAGUGUGAAAGAGGCUCUGGGCUCAAUUCCCAGCACUACCC